AAGUCCAGUAACGAGCGCAACCCUUAUCCUUAUUUGCCAGCACUUCGGGUGGGAACUUUAAGGAGACUGCCGUGAAUAACACGGAGGAAGGUGGGGACGACGUCAAGUCAUCAUGGCCCUUACGGGUUGGGCUACACACGUGCUACAAUGGGAGAUACAGACGGUUGCGAAAGCGCGAGCUGGAGCUAAUCCUACAAAGUCUUCCUCAGUCCGGAUUGGAGUCUGCAACUCGACUCCAUGAAGCAGGAAUCGCUAGUAAUCGCGAAUCAGAAUGUCGCGGUGAAUACGUUCUCGGGCCUU
rnacentral:rRNA from 1 species